UACGGGGGGGGCAAGCGUUGUUCGGAAUUACUGGGCGUAAAGGGCGCGUAGGCGGUUCGUACAGUCAGACGUGAAAUUCCUGGGCUCAACCUGGGGGCUGCGUUUGAUACGUGCGGACUUGAGUGCGGAAGAGGGUCGUGGAAUUCCCAGUGUAGAGGUGAAAUUCGUAGAUAUUGGGAAGAACACCGGUGGCGAAGGCGGCGACCUGGUCCGAUACUGACGCUGAGGCGCGAAAGCGUGGGGAGCAAACAGG
rnacentral:rRNA from 1 species